rnacentral:tRNA from 2 species
UGUAAACCUGAAAUGAAGAUCUUCUCUUCUCAAGACA